GCAGGUAUAGCUCAGUUGGUAGAGCACUAGGUUGCCAGCCUAGAGGCGCGAGUUCGACCCUCGCUACCCGCUCCA
rnacentral:tRNA from 1 species